rnacentral:rRNA from 1 species
GUGAACGCUGGCGGUAGGCCUAACACAUGCAAGUCGAACGGCAGCACAGUAAGAUCUUGCUCUUACGGGUGGCGAGUGGCGGACGGGUGAGGAAUACAUCGGAAUCUACUUUUUCGUGGGGGAUAACGUAGGGAAACUUACGCUAAUACCGCAUACUACCUACGGGUGUAAGCACUGGAUCUUCUGACCUUGCGCUAUUUAAUGUGCCGAUGUCGGAUUAGCUAGUUGGCUGGGUAAAGGCCCACCAAGGCGACGAUCCGUAGCUGGUCGGAGAGGAUGAUCAGCCACACUGGAACUGAGACACGGUCCAGAGUCCUAGGGGAGGGAGCAGUGGGGAAUAUGGGAGAAUGGGCGCAAGCAUGAUCCAGCGAUACCGCGUGGGUGAAGAAGGCCUUCGGGGUGUAAAGCACUGUUGUUGGGAAAGAAAAGCAGCAGGAUAAUACCCCGCUGUUCUGACGUUACCCAAAGAAUAAGCACCGGCUAACUACGUG